GUGAUGCUGCAUCAUGAAUACAUUCAGGGAAUGGAAAGAGAACCUGCACCUCACCUGACCAAGCAGAAAUGCCCACUACAACUUGAGCAUCAAUAUCUCGCAACAGAAAUUUCAUCAUCAGUUCAUACAGCAGAAGGAAUGGAAGGAAUAUUUUCUGUGUUGGUUUGCCUUCCCUGCUUUUGAUAAUUCAUUUUGAUUCCUGUGAAGUGUUGCUCUCUCUAACAGUUUUGUGUGGCCAUUGUGGGCCGUAUUUAGGACUUUGUUUCUGUGAUGUUGAGUGGCUUCAUUUUGAGGAUUGUAAAACUGGAAGUGUUGAGUUUCAGAUUACAGUUGAAGCAUAAGGCAUAAAAUCAGCUUGUAGGCACAGCAGAACAGAGUGUCUAGGAAAGAUGUCUUGCAGGGUUAAGAUAAUGCAUUUCAGUGCUGUUGUCAGCAGAGAGAGGCUGCAAUUAAUGUGAAAAUGUUAGAUGAGGAAGGAAUGCUGGUGGGUUUGGAAAGGGUAAUAAGUAUGGGUUUCUUCUAACAGGAAAACGCAGAAGAAAGAAUGCUGCAAGGCUCUGGAUGGAGGUAUCUGGGGAGGUAGUGGAGGAGGUAAAGGAGCAUUCUUGGACAGUGUCAUGGAACUGGAUAAGAGCAGGAGGAUGGUUCUGGUAUGAGCAAAAGCAGAGUAGUGCAAACCCUGCCCUCUGGUUUCUGUACCUUUUUAUGUAUGGGGCUAUUUCACUUAAGCAGAACAUGUCGUUGCUCUAGAUGGCCCUCACAGCUAAGAUUGCCAGUAAGUUGGCUUUCCUUCUUCACUGAGAUAGACAUGAUCCCUGAAUGCCAUCUUGGUCCACAGCUAUUUUGAUACUUGAUUCCUCUUCCCUGUCCAUGCCUCUUGCCUUUUCCCUUCUGUCUCUGCAUGUGGAGGUGUUAUAUGUCCCCACAAUUCUGCUACACCUCCCCAUGUAUCAGCCCUCCCCAUGACCUUAAGACUGCUUAGUUCCUCCCAUGUACUUUGCUUUCCAGGAUGAUAAGCUGUGGUCAGAAAAAUAGCCACUGCUCAUUCUAUCCACUGCCACCCUCUCCUCCCCCUCUCCUCUCCGUCUGGUACUAGGGAAGAGCUUGUGCCCUGUUCAGCUGGCUAGUUCUGGCACAAAGCUGGACUGGUAUAGGAGCGGGAGGGCUGUGCCGAUGUCGGAUGUAUGUCUCUGUGCGGGUGAGGAGCGUCCGAGGCAGGCACCCUUUCCUCCUUUUAUCAGACUGCGCUCAUUUAUUAUACCAUCUGUUUUCCCAGUGCUGGAGAUGAUGCUGGGGAUAUGUGACUUGGGGCACUCAGGCAGAAACUGGCCUGCACAAGGCCGGCCAUGUGUUUGCCUCCUAGCAAUGCAGCGGUCAGCAGCAAAUUCUUUGCUGCUGCCUCCUCUCAGUAUGGGAGAGAGCAAGUGUGGGCCUGGGUGUGUAGGAGGCACAAAGAGAUGAAAUGUGGCAGGGGGAGAAGGGGAGAGAGAGACACUGGGGUACAUGUGUAUCAGCUGGAGAGAACUGUGGGGAGGAGGGACAGACAGAUGGGCAGAGUUGGGGAGAAGGAAGAAGAAUGGAUUGAAGAGAAGGAAAAACAUAAGGAACUGUGCAGGGAGAGACAAAGAAACAGACUGGCUGGGGGGCAGCAAGAGAAAGGCUGUGAAAGAAGGAAAGACAGGCAGAUCUGGCAGGGUUGUGGUGUGGAAAUCAAUGGAUUGACUGUGGGAGAGAGAUGUGUGCCAGCCAGGUACUACACUCAUAGGGCUCACUGCCACUGCACGGAGAGACCCAGUGGACCCAGGAAUGUAAAUGCCACUAUGCUAGUGCAGACUGUUUCCUGCCUGUCGAACUGCAAUGUGUACUCGAGCGUUUGCAACCUGUGGACUGCCUAUUUCAAGCGUACCUGCUUAACUAUUAGAAGCUGUUUAAGAUGGCAGCUCAGGUAUUUAUUUAUCCCCCUUUCCCUUCCCUCUUGCCCUUUUCCUCACAGUGUACUCACAAUAGAAAAGGAGACAUUAAAAAGUAGUACUCAGAUUCACAGGCACCUUCUUAUUUCUUCUGCCUUGUUUCAUAGACACCACUUUGCUUUGCUGCCUAACUUGACCUCCCCCUCUUCCCUUUGACCAUUUCUUUUCUCUUCUUUCCUCUGCUAUUUUAUCUACUACUUUCUCUCUUCCUUCAAUUUUCUAUAAUUUGAAGUUUUUUAUUGUCCCUAUAACUCCAUUCCCCUUUCUCUAUUGUGUUCUAGACUAGGAGCCUUGUUUCUUUCCUUCUGCUCCUUUUCUCUCUCCCCAAUUCCUCCAUCUCCUUCUGUCUGUGCCUGUCUGCCUGCUUUCUCUCACUCACUGUCUGUCUCUCUUGAACUGGGUUGUUGAAUUCUGUUGGCAUCAGAGUGGGACAAACUGUAAAACCAAGGUUCCCGGAGGGCCAGGUUGUGAUCAUUUUAUUUUUACAAUGUCCUUGGAUGUGUAAAGGUGUUUGUUUGAGGGGGAGGAGCAGUGCAUGUGCUCCAUGUGGGAGAAGAGAGAGGAGUGCAGGCCAGAACAAAUGAAGCUUAUAACCAAUAUAGGUCAGUUGCAGAGAAGAGUCCCAAUGGUCUGUGAAAUAGAGAAGUGUUUUGUCAUUUCAGACUGGCUAGUGGAAAGAUGGCAAAUGAAUAGUUUUAUCUAACAGACGCAGGAAAAGCGUCCUGUCAGAGAAUGCAGUAGUGGUGAGCAUGGGAGGAGGACCAGCUCUGCACAGGGGAUUGCUCAUCUCCCAGCCACCCCCAUAACCCAGGGAAAGAACAGCCUUUCUCCUGUUCCGAGCUGCCUACUUCUGAGCAUGUUCCCAUGUCUCUGCUAUGGACUGCAGAGCAUGGCUGAGAGAUGCUUCCCUGUGUCCUCUGCCAGACUUGCUCGCCGUGUCAAAGAGGACAACAACCAAGCAAACAGAUUAGAGAAGCACAAAGGAGAACCAUAACCUCACACCCUUGGAGGAUGGGCUGGAGUGCUUGGUGAGCCUCUGCUGGGGUAAGUGCUGCCAAAGAGACCCCCACAGUGGCAGAAAGGCAUCAUCAAGGCCCUGAGCUUAGGCUGGUGGAGCUGUAUGAGCCAAGCGCACUGCUGGGAAUUGUUUUGCUCUUCAGUAGGCUACUCACUUCCCAUGAUUUGCCACCAUAUGAGUAAACCCUGCUUCCUGAUCAUUCCCAGAAAUUUUCAAAAGUGGUCAGUAGCUGCAGUGAACGACUGUGUCAGAUACUGAUGAGCCCAGCAUGUGGCCUUGGGAAUUUCAAUUUAAUUUCUAUUAAGAAAUUCGUUGGUUUAUGACAUCAAAGCUAUUCUGUUAAAAUGACAUUAAAACAUCAAAACAGAAAUCCAGAUUUUUAGAGGUGUUUGGAGCCCCUGCAUCUCUCUAAAUUCGAUGUGAGAUGCUGACUGCUUAGCACAACUGAAAAUCAGGACAGUUCCUCAGUGUCUAAACAUGGAGUUAGAAGCCUAAAUAGAUGUAUGUGUUUUGCUUACUUUUUUAAAGGAGGCCUUUAUUCCCGAGGCAGAGAAUACCACCUCUCGACAAUUUCUAUCCAUGGAAUACUCUUCUGUGCAUCACCAUAAUGCUCCAGUCUAACAUCUGACUGGCUUAAUCUGAUGUGUUUAACCUACUUCCUCUAUAGGAAUUCACUUGGGGGAUCCUAAACCAUUACAAUGGUAAUGUGAAAAUAAAUCCUAGGAAUUAAUACAAUACAAGAGCUCUGUGGUCGCAAUAUAUCAGCUGACUUGCUCUGAAACAGUGUCUCAGGUCCUCAUGGGAUGCCUCCCUGACUAUGUGGGACUACAGAAGUAAAUCUUUCUCACAUUGAAAUUGGUAGCCUGUUACUGGCAUCAGUUGGAUACUGUGAUUCUGAAUUCUCUUAGAAUGCCAGCUCACUGAACUCCUGAAUAGGUGCUGUGAUAUGUGCUUCUCUUGAUUUGUCCCUCCGAAAAUUCAGAGGGAUGAAAUAGCUUAUCCUAGACACUAACCAUUUCUCUUGCUUUUCUUGGGAUGUUCCUUCAAGUAUCCUUUUAACCCUGAUAUACCACUGAGUGUCAGAGAUGUUUAAUGUCCAAUAUUCCUGCCCCAAUACCCUAAGCUAUCUGACAGAAGAAAAGCUCAGGGUAUCCUAAAGAUGAAAGUCUGCAUAGCUGUCUUGCAGAAGGGUUACCUGUGUCAGUACCACCAGACCUAGGAGAGCAAGUCUGUCCGUGGAGGAAGCCCCAGUGAUACCUCUGUGGCUGCAGAGGUCUGGAUGGCAAAAGCUCAUAUUAGGGCUGGAUUGUGGCUUUAAAUGAUGACACUGAAUAGAUGCGGCUGCACAAGAUCCUCUUGUCUGUCCCCAUCUGUGCCCUUUACACUGAAAGGAAGACUGAUAUCAGAGAAUAUCGAUCAGUGUCAACACAAACCGUCUUCACUGUAGGCCUCACCUUUACCUCAGCAUUUAUCAUUGCACUGAUGCUUCCAAGAAGAUUCUGAAAGCCUUUAGAAAAAAGUAAGGCCUCUCUUUCUUGACUUACUCUUUGCAAUUCUGUGAUUGCUAUGUUUACGUGGAAACAGGCUUUUUUUUUUCUUUAAGAACCAAACCACAGCCCAUGUACAUUUCCUCAGUGGAGUUUCAUAAAACUGUUUGUCAAGAAAUGAUGAGUGCUUUUAAUUUGGAGUUUCUGAAGUUGACCUGGAGAGACCACCCCUUCCGUGAGAGACAAAUCAGGAGUGAGAAUCUAAUCUAGUUACAGUCAGUAGAUAAAAGGACAAAGGCUUUACUGGGGGCAACAUAGUUACUGGUGCCCAUAUUCCAGGCACAAUGGGCAGUGAGACCCAUUGCCUCUCUGGUCCAUUCUGGAGACCUUUCCCUGUGCCUUAGACCCUAGAACAGAUUCUGAUUACAAAACCUGUGCCAAAAACUUUUCAUCAACUUUUUGUUGCCUGGAAUAUGCUUUCAGGGUUGGAUGUAUCUAGAUGUCUGUGCCUGGCUUUGGAUAUGAAUGGGAACUCAAAAGAGGAUUUCCAUGAAGGAUCUGGGGAUACAGCAGAGGAGAAACAAUGGGUGUAUGCUUGGGAAUAAGUGGGUCUAAAGCUGGAUUUCUAUGUGCAUGGUUAACAUAGGGGUAAGGGAGUGUAGAGGCAUGUAUUUUACUUAUAUGCAAGAUAGUCCAACAUGAAGGUAGCCUGGGAUUAUAGAUUAAGUGUAGAAAAAUAGAAAAAUGUGUGUUCUGGAGAGGAUAAGUAUGAGGCACAGCAUCUGAGUGGGGAAGAGUGUCUUUAGUUUAGCAUACUUAUGUAAAUACAUAGGGAUAGACGUGCUGGUGGGAGGGGGAAUGUUCUCACAACUUAUUUUCUCUGCUAGUCGGAUUCGGUAAGUUUGUGUGUAUAUAUAUAUACACAUAUGCAUAUAUCCUCACUGAGGGCGCUUUACCAAAUAUUAGAAUUCCAGCUAGAAUGACUUGUUAGCAGCCUACCCUCUGUUAGAGCUAAUGGGUUGCAGGUAUUGAUUUUUUUUCUAUUUCUAUUGAUUAGGAGGCUGCUGUACAUACAAACCUUAGCAUAGCAUGGAAAGAGAAAGGGAGGCAAAACAGUUCACAUCCCAGCAACUCAUCAUGGCGGAAAAUUCAUCCUGGGAGUCUCAGUCUUCUCCAACUAUCUCUUCCAAAUAGAGAAGGAAGUCGUUCCUUUUUUGCAGAAAUCAACCACCAGGGCUCAUGAGAGGACACUUUUUGUUUCCCAACCAUCUUCAAAUGUAUCAUUCAAUGGAAGAAAAGGUUGUGUGAGAAAAAGGAGUCUCACAUGGAAAGCACAGGAGUGCUUCAAGCUUCAAGACUCAAUCUGAAACAGUUAUCUUGGGUACCCAUGAGCACCCAAUUCAUUCGUAACAGCACCCAGAUCCCACUAAAAUCAGCGCAAACUCUUUCA